GACGGUUGAUGCAAGCGAUAUCCGGAAUCACUGGGCGUAAAGCGUCUGUAGGUGGUGAUGCCAGUCACUGUUGCAAAACUCUGGCUCAACCGGAGGAAAGCCAGUGAAACUGCAUGACUGGAGUGUGGGAGAGGUAGAAGGAAUUCCCUGAGUAGGGGUGAAUUGCGUAGAUACAGGGAAGAACACCGGAGGCGAAAGCGUUCUACUGGAACACAACUGACACUGAUAGACGAAAGCUAGGGGAGCGAAUGGG
rnacentral:rRNA from 1 species